rnacentral:lncRNA from 1 species
ACCACUGCCCCUAGCCACGCUAUUCUUCGUGAGGAACACACCAUGCUUGCUUGAGCCUGGGGCCUUUACACUUGCUGUUUCUUUUGCCUUUGUAGAAAGAACUUUGGGUGUUUCAGUUCUUCAGUGGUCUCUUAAGAAUCUGACCAGGUGUCCCCUCAGAAGCUGUCUUUGAUUGUUCCAUCUAAAGCUGCAUGGCUCCCUGUUGAGAGCCACAGCUGAAGGGGCCCCAGCAAACUUCCAGCUGCCAGCAAACUUCCAGCUGCCUGCUGAUGAUUGGCUCACAGCGGCCCCAGCAACAUCUAGCUGAUUGGCUCCUCUGCGGUGAUGCUCAUUGGGCUGUUUCCCUGCCCUUUCAGACCACGGAGCUGCUCAUUGGGGGACUUUUUUGGCUCCGCCCACGUGACCCAGCCAAUCGGCCUCAAGAGCAGGAGGAUUGCGGGAGGUGGAGAGAAGCUUGUGUGGGAGAGAGAGGCUUGUGGAAAGCCGGUGGUGGCAGUUGAGGCUCUGAGGGUUUUUCCUGAGAGGCUGUUUUGUUUGGCGUGUGUGGUUCUAAAAAUAAAGUUAAUUUCUUUUGACAAGUGGCUCCUGAUUGUGCCCAGCCAGACUGCGGCAGCUCCCCACCAUUCAGUUCCUUUUUACUCCUUGAUUUAUUUUCUUCAUCACAAGUAUUACUUUUUGUUUUCAUACUAUAUUCCCUAUUAUCAUGGUGCCCCAUCUUGUCCCUUCCAGAGGAACAGGAGCUUUGUCAUGGCUCCAUCCCCAAGGCCUGAGACACUACCCAACACAGUACCCAGGGCUUAGACAGAAAUGAGCACUUUUGAGUGAUUGGAUUAAUGCAUUUAUUUAAAUAGUCAUCACUUCAAAAUUGAGGUAAAAUAAUUUUAACACAUGUAAUACUAGCUUAAUGAGUCAUUUUGCUUUGGAAAUUUUUCAUUCAGUUAAAAUUGUGGGCCAGUGUUUGUUAUGCUGGGGGAAUCAAACUGUGCAUACUUGGUGGCACAUGCAGGCAUUUCAAAGGCUGAAGAAAACAGAAUUUAGUCUCCAUCCACAGUAAUGGUUCACAGCCUAGGCCACAAAUUAGAAUCACCUGGAAAAAUUAUAAAAGUCUGAUGACUAGGCUGACCUCUAUAACACAUAAUGCAAAACUUUUUGAGAGUUGGAUCUGAGACUCCAUUAACAUUUUUAAAAGAAUUUCCUCAGCAAAUUACAUGGGCAGUCAGAUUGAAAAACACUUAUUUGUGAGAGAUUUCUUUUCUCAAAAAUUAUUUCCAGUGCUGACAACAGUAUAGGGAGUAUUUAUAUACUUGUUAAAUGAAUUAAUGAGUGAAUGAAUGAAUGUAAAGAGUGUUGAUAGCUGACUGAACUCAUGAACACCAUUUGAAGAGUCUACUAAUGGGUUGCCAAAUUUGGCAAACAAACAAAAUAACCAAAAAGACUCCCCCAUUAAAUUUGAAAUUUAAAUAAAGAACUUUUGGGAAAUGUAUGUCUCAAAUAUUAUAUGGGCAUAACUAAAGAAUGACUUUAUUAUUUACCUGUGAUUCAGAUUUAACUGGACAUACUGUAUUUUAUCUGGCAACUCUACUGAUGAGAGAACAGUUAAGAUUCUUUUGUAAAAAUCAGUAUUUUAUUAAAAAUGUUAAACAAUUUGGUAUCAAAAUGGUGAUUUAAUCUCUUCUAUCUUCUGCUAUCCAAAGCUACCAAAAAACAGUCCAUCA